CUUGACGCUGCCCAGCAGCAACGGCUCGGUACGGUCCUGCCCGUACGCGGCCAGCAGCGCCUGCGCCUC
rnacentral:antisense_RNA from 1 species